UACGUAGGGUGCAAGCGUUGUCCGGAAUUAUUGGGCGUAAAGAGCUCGUAGGCGGCUUGUCGCGUCGGCUGUGAAAAACCUGAGGCUCAACCUCGGGCUUGCAGCCGAUACGGGCAAGCUAGAAUUCGGUAGGGGAGACUGGAAUUCCUGGUGUAGCGGUGAAAUGCGCAGAUAUCAGGAGGAACACCGGUGGCGAAGGCGGGUCUCUGGGCCGAUAUUGACGCUGAGGAGCGAAAGCGUGGGGAGCGAACAGG
rnacentral:rRNA from 1 species